rnacentral:misc_RNA from 1 species
CGCACAUUGCGCCCACUGGUAUUCCGGUGGGCAUGCCUGUUCGAGCGUCAUUAUCCUCUCUCCAAACCUUCUGGUUGGGCGUUGGACCGAGUCGUCGCAAGACAACUGGUCUCAAAGACAAUGACGGCGUCCGUGGGACCCUCUUCGCAACGAGUCUUUCGGGGCACGCGGGGAGUUGCAAGGUCUCUGCGGCACGGUCGAAACCUUUUAUUUUUCUCAGGUUGACCUCGGAUCAGGUAGGAAUACCCGCUGAACUUAA